rnacentral:rRNA from 1 species
GACGAACGCUGGCGGCGUGCUUAACACAUGCAAGUCGAACGGUAAGGCCCUUCGGGGUACACGAGUGGCGAACGGGUGAGUAACACGUGGGUGAUCUGCCCUGCACUUCGGGAUAAGCCUGGGAAACUGGGUCUAAUACCGGAUAGGACCACUGCCUGCAUGGGUGGUGGUGGAAAGCUUUUGCGGUGUGGGAUGGGCCCGCGGCCUAUCAGCUUGUUGGUGGGGUGAUGGCCUACCAAGGCGACGACGGGUAGCCGGCCUGGGAGGGUGACCGGCCACACUGGGACUCGGAUACGGCCCAGACUGCUACGGGAGGCAGCAGUGGGGAAUAUUGCACAAUGGGCGGAAGCGUGAUGCAGCGUCGCCGCGUGAGGGAUGACGGCCUUCGGGUUGUAAACCUCUUUCAGCACCGACGAAGCGCAAGUGACGGUAGGUGCAGAAGAAGGACCGGCCAACUACGUGCCAGCCGCCGCCGUAA